UACGAAGGGGGCUAGCGUUGCUCGGAAUCACUGGGCGUAAAGGGCGCGUAGGCGGCGUUUUAAGUCGGGGGUGAAAGCCUGUGGCUCAACCACAGAAUGGCCUUCGAUACUGGGACGCUUGAGUAUGGUAGAGGUUGGUGGAACUGCGAGUGUAGAGGUGAAAUUCGUAGAUAUUCGCAAGAACACCGGUGGCGAAGGCGGCCAACUGGACCAUUACUGACGCUGAGGCGCGAAAGCGUGGGGAGCAAACAGGAUUAGAACC
rnacentral:rRNA from 1 species